rnacentral:rRNA from 1 species
GACGAACGCUGGCGGCGUGCUUAACACAUGCAAGUCGAACGGAAAGGCCUUGCUUUUGUGGGGUGCUCGAGUGGCGAACGGGUGAGUAACACGUGAGUAACCUGCCCUUGACUUUGGGAUAACUUCAGGAAACUGGGGCUAAUACCGGAUAGGAGCUCCUGCUGCAUGGUGGGGGUUGGAAAGUUUCGGCGGUUGGGGAUGGACUCGCGGCUUAUCAGCUUGUUGGUGGGGUAGUGGCUUACCAAGGCUUUGACGGGUAGCCGGCCUGAGAGGGUGACCGGCCACAUUGGGACUGAGAUACGGCCCAGACUCCUACGGGAGGCAGCAGUGGGGAAUAUUGCACAAUGGGCGGAAGCCUGAUGCAGCAACGCCGCGUGCGGGAUGACGGCCUUCGGGCUGUAAACCGCUUUCGCCUGUGACGAAGCGUGAGUGACGGUAAUGGGUAAAGAAGCACCGGCUAACUACGUG